GCAGGUUCUACAGGAAGCACGGUGUCUUCCGCUUCUGGGGAGGCCUGAGGAAACUUAGAACCAUGGGGAAAAGCAAAGGGAAAGAAGUCCCAUCUCACAUGGCAGCAGCAGGAGCCAGAAAGAGAGAGGGAAUGUGCCACACACCUCUAAACAACCAGACCUCAUGAGAACUCACUAUCCUGACGACACCACCGAGGAGAUAGUGCUAAACCGUGAGAAAACGCCCCCAGGACGCAAUUCCCCCCUCCAGGCCCCACUUCCAGCGCUGGGGAUUACGUUUUGACAUGAGAUUUCUGCAGAGACGCAGAUCCAAACCAUAUCAAAGUGUGAAGUGAAUCUGGUGGACCACUGUGGGCUUUGAAGAUGGAACAGACCACGUGGAGGGCGUGGAGGGUACAGCACUCUCUGUGAACUGAGAGUGGCCCUGGCUGACAGCCGGUGUGGAAAUAAGGACCUCAGAUCACUGGCAAUAAGAAACUGAAUGCCACAAACAACCUGAGUAUGCCUGAAAGUGGAUUCUUCCCCAGAGCCUUCUUCUAGCACGGGGCCCAGUACACACAUCGCUUUCCCCUUGUGAUAACUAAGGAGAGAACCGGAGACCUCCCCACUUCUGGCCGGACCUCAGCAGAUGCAAUCUGGAGAGAGCUUCCAUCUGCACCAUGAGCCCAUGCCAUCUUCUGACUCCUGGAGCUACAGUGAAGAUAUAUUUUGUAUUAAUGCUUAACUUCUUCAUUUCAGUUGCCAUUGAGGUAGCCUAAUAACAUUCAUAAGUAAAUACUGGAUUUUAGUUUGCAAUAGAAAAACCUUCCAUGUAAUAUAAUAUGUCUAUACAAUUAAUAAUUAAUUACUUUGUUAAAAUAUGUAUCUUUAAAUAAAUAAACAUUGGUAGAGACCAUGUUAAGCAUGUCUGAGUUGAAGCUUUCAAAAAAAUAAAGUCUUUUAUUAAAAAUUUUUAAAUAAAAUAGAUUAUAAGGUAG
rnacentral:lncRNA from 1 species